rnacentral:lncRNA from 1 species
CGUGGCACGUGGCACGACCUGAGCAGGCCCACGGUAUAACGGACUCUGUUCCCAGUCGCAAAGACAACCGCGAACGCCGUCGGUCAGCUGAGCCGUCGCCACUUGGCGACCGAGUGGGAAACGUCUCCCCGAACCGUGGGGCCAAUCUGAUCGUCCGUUGAGCUGUCAUCACUAAAUUCGAUGCUCGAAAUGGUCCCCACGUGUCGCUAUUUACGUGAUUGCCAAGCCUGGGUCCCCCCAUCGCGGUCCUAACUCCAACGCCGUGUCGAGACCAGUAGGUCGUGGGCCCGCCUUGUCGGGUUGUCGUUUGGAGCGUAUGACUUGCGGGCUCCGCCCUGAGAUAAUUACGAUAAUCUCAUUUUCUCGCCACUUAAAUUUCUCUUUUCCUUAAAAAUUCCUCUCUGCUCUUCUUCUGGA